UACGUAGGGGGCGAGCGUUGUCCGGAUUUAUUGGGCGUAAAGAGCUCGUAGGCGGCUUGGCAAGUCGGGUGUGAAACCUCCAGGCUCAACCUGGAGACGCCACUCGAUACUGCUAUGGCUAGAGUCCGGUAGGGGACCACGGAAUUCCUGGUGUAGCGGUGAAAUGCGCAGAUAUCAGGAGGAACACCGGUGGCGAAGGCGGUGGUCUGGGCCGGCACUGACGCUGAGGAGCGAAAGCGUGGGUAGCAAACAGG
rnacentral:rRNA from 2 species